rnacentral:lncRNA from 1 species
UGGUUGUCUAGGAAAUUGUCUCUGAAAACAGAAAUGCUAGUGGUAAUGAUGGUUCUUCCCCUGUUUUUCUAGUCAUGAGGCUGUAAACAGUUUUGCAGUGUGUGUUCCUGUUCCUGCAGGCCAAAGACUUCAGGUGGGGAGUGCAAAACAAGGGGCUUCUGCAGGAGAAUCCUCAGAGAUGUUUGCAUGGUUCUCCAACUUCAGCAGUGAGCUUUGUUCAAUUGUGGAUGCUUCAUCUUUAUCAAGGGCCUCCAGCAAUGAAUGCUAUGUGCCAUCCAGCUGAAUCAGUGCCUCUUCUGGACUAAGAUGUGUGAGCCAAGUUGACUUCAGAUAUCCUUUCUUCAUUACUUCCUUACAGAUUUCAGUUAAAC